rnacentral:rRNA from 1 species
AUGAGGCUGAAGAAGGAGAAGGAUGGAACAUUUGUCGUAAAAGAGAUAGUCUGGGAACACAACCACAGGCUACAGCUCGCUCCGGAAAUGCUUGUCUUUCACUCCCACAAAAACUUUGACAAAACAAUCUUGGAGUACGUCAAGUACCUGUAGUUCAAAGGUAUUGAACACGCGCAAAUCAUGAGCAUACUAGGCGGUGAUGACCCUGGUAGCUACUUCCUCGAAAUGAAUGCCAAAGACCUGAUUAACCUGAAAGCAAAGAAUUCAAGGAUGGAUGAUGUGGACGAUGUCCUAAAGACUGUCAACUUCUUUAGGGAGAUGAAAGCUAUAAACAGGGAAUUCUUCUGUGACAUGCAACUCGAUGCAAACUGCCGAGGGGCCUAUCAGGGCUUCGGUGACUGCGUAACAUUUGACACCACAUAUAAGACCAACAAGUACCAUAUGCCACUUGGGGUGUUUGUCGGUACUAACAACCACUUACAGACUACAUUCUUUGGUUUUGCCCUGAUAAGAGAUGAGGAUGCAGAUUCAUUCAGAUGGCUGUUCAAGACAUUUUUAAGGUGCAUGAGAGGGAAGGCUCCUACAUGCAUCCUCACAGACCAGUGCCAGGCAAUGGCUUUGGCGAUACCAGAUGCUUUCGGGAACACAGUACACAAGCUGUGCCGCUGGCACAUUAUGAAGAAGUACAGGGAACACCUCGCAUACCGGUACUACCUGCACGAAGACUUUAAGGAUGAAUUCACAUGAAUCCUCAACUGGCCCCUCAUGGCAACUAAGUUUGAGGAUGCCUGGAAAGGACCCAUGGAUAGGUACAACCUCCAUGAUGAUGCCACGAUGGUGGCCAUGUGGAACGAGCAUGAGAAAUGGAUAUCAGCCUACUUCAAAGAAAUUUUCUGCGCCAAAAUGACAUCCACACAGUGAAGUGAGAGCAUGAACUAUGUGCUCAAGAAGAACUUUGUAAGUGAGAGACAAAACCUACACCGUUUUGUCAGCCAGGUAAACUCCUGCGUCAAAACCAGGAGGCAGAUAGAGAACCAAGAGACAAUGGGUAACAUACCAAGAGACAAUGGGUAA